GAACGCGGUAGUCAAAGUCCGUCUCAACGGCGUGGCUCGACGUCCGCUUCCUAUCUACAGGUAAUGGCCCUCUUCCUUCACGGGUUGGGGUGUCCGUUCCUGUUCAUUUACUUUGAAAAAAUUCGCGCGCUCAAGGCAGGCGUAAAGCUAUGAAGACAUAAGCAUGGGAUAAUAGAAUACGACUUUGGUCAUAUUUUGUUGGUUUCUUUGGCUGAGGUA
rnacentral:rRNA from 1 species